rnacentral:misc_RNA from 1 species
GUUCAAAUGUUUCAAUCUCUGCCCUAGUAUAAGAUAAAAUCUCCAGUCUACGAUGAAAAUGAGUGUUAGGUGCACCCACCUAAGUUAUGUGAUUUCUUUUUACUUUUUAAAUGUUUUGGUGGGUUAUUGGUGAGACUCAGACGUCACACUUGCUGCCCUGAAGCUUAGAACUAUAGAAGCCAUGGAGAAUGUCGAAACAUUGCCUAAAUUUGAACCACUAAUCAGGCUGAAGAAGACCCACGAUCACACCAUUAUCUGACUCAUCACAUUGCGUCCACAUAAUUCAAGAGACAACGUGUGUUGUGGCUCGAGUUGGACUAGUCUCAAUUUAAUGAGUAUUGAUUAAAUCUUACCUUAGCUUUCUACUCCACGGACAGGAUUGCCGGUUCCAACUUCCUAGAGAAUACCACUUUGACCUUUCGCCACACACAGCGGUCGGUCGGACCAGCAUUAUCAACGCACCUUUCUCUUCCUCAACUCCACGGCUGCAAAUCAUCAGCCCUUUCUCUACCUAAAUCAUCCAAUCCUACAGUUGUUUUAUUCUCAAUAAACGCUUAACACACCAAGGCACCAUUGUCACCGGCUGUUCCGGUAUCCCUUUCUCUUUCUUUAUAUUAAACCUCAUUUUCUCACUCUUCGGCCACUAGUCUCCACUAUCACUGCUCUCACUAUUCCUUUCUGCAACUUACUACUUUUCUAAUUCUAUCUCUUCAGUCAUGGGUAAUGAUUCUGUGUUUCUUAGAUCCCAUUUCAGUCUUAAAAUUUCGUAUUUUUUAUGACCUGAUCUACUCUGAUUGUGUUUUUGAUGGUUUUGGCUUUUGACUUGCAGAGAAGGUUAAGAUCGGGAUCAACGGUAAUAGAUUUUUUUUUUCCUGUUCUCUCUGUUGUGGUUACUUAUUUUGUUUUGAUCUUGGUGAUUAAAACCUGAUCGGUGCUGGGGGCAAUGAAAAAUUAGAAUUUGGAAGGAUUGGAAGGCUGGU